rnacentral:SRP_RNA from 2 species
GCCGGGUGUGGUGGCUCACGCCUGUAAUCCUGGCACUUUGGGAGGCUGAGGUGGGUGGAUCAUUUGAGGUCAGGAAUUCAAGACCAUCCUGGCCAACAUAGUGAAACCCCGCCUCUA